UAGUGAGUUUGAUCCUGGCUCAGGACGAACGCUGGCGGCGUGCCUAACACAUGCAAGUCGAACGGAGUACUUUCGGGUACUUAGUGGCGGACGGGUGAGUAACGCGUGAGAAUCUGCCCAUAGGAUAGGGACAACAGUUGGAAACGACUGCUAAUACCUGAUGUGCCGAGGAGGUGAACUUUAUGGCUGUGGAUGAGCUCGCGUCUGAUUAGCUAGUUGGUGGGGUAAAGGCUCACCAAGGCGACGAUCAGUAGCUGGUCUGAGAGGAUGAUCAGCCACACUGGAACUGAGACACGGUCCAGACU
rnacentral:rRNA from 1 species